CGAAGUGGCGACAUGGAGCGAAUCCAAAAACAAACGCCCCAGUUCGGAUUGUAGUCUGCAACCCGACUACAUGAAGCCGGAAUCGCUAGUAAUCGCGGAUCAGAAUGCCGCGGUGAAUACGUUCCCGGGUCUUGUACACACCGCCCGUCACACCAUGGGAGUCGGGAAUGCCCGAAGUCAGUGACCCAACCCAAGGGAGGGAGCUGCCGAAGGCAGGCCUGGUGACUGGGGUGAAGUCGUAACAAGGUACC
rnacentral:rRNA from 1 species